AACGAACGCUGGCGGCGUGGAUAAGACAUGCAAGUCGAACGGGAUUAAAUUUGUAGUAAUACACGUUUAGUCCAGUGGCGAACGGGUGCGUAACACGUGAGUAAUCUACCGAAGAGUGGGGGAUAGCUCGCCGAAAGGCGAAUUAAUACCGCAUACGGCUAUUUUCUAAUUGGAGAAGAAGCUAAAGCAGCAAUGCGCUU
rnacentral:rRNA from 1 species